rnacentral:rRNA from 1 species
UACUAAGGAGACUGCCGGUGACAAACCGGAGGAAGGUGGGGAUGACGUCAAGUCCUCAUGGCCCUUAUGGGUAGGGCUUCACACGUCAUACAAUGGUCGGUACAGAGGGUUGCCAACCCGCGAGGGGGAGCUAAUCCCACAAAGCCGAUCGUAGUCCGGAUCGCAGUCUGCAACUCGACUGCGUGAAGUCGGAAUCGCUAGUAAUCGUGGAUCAGCAUGUCACGGUGAAUACGUUCCCGGGUCUU